rnacentral:rRNA from 1 species
UUGUAGGCUGCAACUCGCCUACAUGAAGUCGGAAUCGCUAGUAAUCGCGGAUCAGCAUGCCGCGGUGAAUACGUUCCCGGGCCUUGUACACACCGCCCGUCACACCAUGAGAGUUUGUAACACCCAAAGCCGGUGGGGUAACCUUUUGGAGCCAGCCGUCUAAGGUGGGACAGAUGAUUGGGGUGAAGUCGUAACAAGGUACC